UCGUCGUCAUCCUUGGUGGACGGCUCACCGGCCGUCGGCGUGGGGUUCGACCUGAACCUGCCGCCGCCGGCCGAGGAGGCGUAGGUUACGCACCCGAUGACGACGACACGACCCCACAAAUCCCUCGUAGAAAAGCCUAGAGCGACGUGUAAUAGUAAGAGGUUAAUCGUCCGUUUAAUUGCCAGGAUUGAUCAACUAGGUGUACAUAGAUUGUGUCCUUUUUGCACGGGGAGAUAGGCACGAGGAAAAGCUACUCCUCCCGGUGUUACAGUUCGUUUAAAAAAACGAAGGAAAAAAAAGAAACGAAAACAUUUUGUUGUUCAAUGUAACAUAUUGAUCAUCAAUCUCUGAUUAAUGAGAAAUUUACGUUAUUUUUGUUCUCAAAACCAUCUGUCUUCAUCCCUGCAAGGUACUAGCAACACAGCCAACUUUGUUUUCAGCUACAUAGCCAGAUCUGUUGUUUUCUGGGAAAAAUGACUACUACUAGAUGUCUCCCGAUCGUGGAUCAUGAAAUGGAGGCAAAAAAUUAACCAAACUAAAUUCUAACUCCAUUCAACCGAUCCUGUUCGAUUUUCACAUCAAACAGGUGAAUAUGUACGUGCAAAUCAGCUCAAAGAAAACCACGUAAGAGUAUCUACUGGGCGUGUGACGAAGAAACGAGAAAUUAACAAGUACACAAAGCGCCGCCGCUACGCCGCUCCUCC
rnacentral:lncRNA from 1 species